GUCCACGUAGCUCAGCAGGAUAGAGCGACCGCCUCCUAAGCGGUAGGCCGGAGGUUCGAAUCCCCUCGUGGACGCCA
rnacentral:tRNA from 1 species